rnacentral:ncRNA from 1 species
UCAUUAGAGGUCUUGGGGCAGAAAGUAUCUCAACCUCAUCUCAAGCUUUCUUUCAAUGGGUCUGAAGCCGGGCUCGCUGGCGUGGAGCCGGGCGUGGAAUGUGAGUGCCUAGGGGGCCACUUUUGGUCAGCAGAACUGGCACUGCCGGGUGAACCGAACGCCUGCUGAAGGCGCCCGAUGCCGAAGCUCAUCAGACCCCAGAAAAGGUGUUGGUUGAUAGGGACUGCAGGACGGGGGUCAUGGAAGUCGGAAUCCGCUAAGGAGUGUGUGUAACAACUCACCUGCAGAAUCAACUAGCCCUGAAAACGGAUGGCGCCGGUGCCGCGGGCCCAUACCCAGCUGUAGUUCUUCCAAGGAGAACUUGGAAGGCCAAAGUGGAGAAGGGUUCCAAGGGAACAGCAGUUGAACAUGGGUCAGUUGGUCCCGAGAGAUGGGCGAGCGCCAUUCCGAGGGGACCGGCAAUGGCCUCCAUUGCCCUCAGCUGAUCCAAAGGGAGUCGGGUUCAGAU